CCCUUAGAUGUCCUGGGCUGCACGCGCGCUACAAUGACAUGCACAGCAAGUAUCACAUCCUUGGUCGAGAGGCCUGGGUAAUCUUCUGAAAGCAUGCCGUGCUUGGGAUAGAUUAUUGCAAUUAUUAAUCUUGAACGAGGAAUUCCUAGUAAACGCGAUUCAUCAGAUCGCAUUGAUUACGUCCCUGUGCUUUGUACACACCGCCCGUCGCACCUACCGAUUGAGUGAUUCGGUGAAGACCAUGGACUGGACGGAUGGCCUUCAUGGCUCUCUGGCUCGAAAAUGGUCUAAACCUCAUCACUUAGAGGAAGGUGAAGUCGUAACA
rnacentral:rRNA from 1 species